rnacentral:rRNA from 1 species
UACUGGCUCAGAACGAACGCUGGCGGCAGGUCUUAGGCAUGCAAGUCGAACGGAUGACAAGAGAGCUUGCUCUCUUGAAGUCAGUGGCGCACGAGUGAGUAACGCGUGGGAAACUGCCCUUCACUGGGGAAUAAUGUUUGGAAACGAACGCUAAUACCGCAUACGCCCGCAAGGGGAAAGAUUUAUCGGUGAUGGAUGUGCCCGCGUUGGAUUAGCUAGUUGGUGGGGUAAUGGCCUACCAAGGCGAUGAUCCAUAGCUGGUCUGAGAGGACGAUCAGCCACGCUGGAACUGAGACACGGUCCAGACUCCUACGGGAGGCAGCAGCUAAGAAUAUUGGGCAAUGGAGGAAACUCUGACCCAGCCCAUGCCGCGUGAAUGAAGAAGGCCUUCGGGUUGUAAAGUUCUUUUAGUCAUGAAGAUGAUGACAGUAGUGACAGAAAAAGCACCGGCUAACUUCGUGCCAGCAGCCGC